CAUUGGCUCAACCAANGUAUGCUUUGGAAACUGUUAGACUUGAGUGCAGAAGGGGAGAGUGGANUUCCAUGUGUAGCGGUGAAAUGCGUAGAUAUAUGGAGGAACACCGGUGGCGAAAGCGGCUCUCUGGUCUGUCACUGACGCUGAGGCUCGAAAGCGUGGGUAGCGAACAGGAUUAGAUACCCUGGUAGUCCACGCCGUAAACGCUGAGUGCUAGGUGUUAGGUCCUUUCCGGGACUUAGUGCCGACGCUAACGCAUUAAGCACUCCGCCUGGGGAGUACGACCGCAAGGUUGAAACUCAAAGGAAUUGACGGGGGCCCGCACAAGCGGUGGAGCAUGUGGUUUAAUUCGAAGCAACGCGAAGAACCUUACCAGGUCUUGACAUCCCGAUGCCCGCUCUAGAGAUAGAGUUUUUCUUCGGAACAUCGGAGACAGGUGGUGCAUGGUUGUCGUCAGCUCGUGUCGUGAGAUGUUGGGUUAAGUCCUGCAACGAGCGCAACCCUUAUUGUUAGUUGCCAUCAUUAAGUUGGGCACUCUAGCGAGACUGCCGGUAAUAAACCGGAGGAAGGUGGGGAUGACGUCAAAUCAUCAUGCCCCUUAUGACCUGGGCUACACACGUGCUACAAUGGUUGGUACAACGAGUCGCAAGCCGGUGACGGCAAGCUAAUCUCUGAAAGCCAAUCUCAGUUCGGAUUGUAGGCUGCAACUCGCCUACAUGAAGUCGGAAUCGCUAGUAACCGCGGAUCAGCACGCCGCGGUGAAUACGUUCCCGGGCCUUGUACACACCGCCCGUCACACCACGAGAGUUUGUAACACCCAAAGUCGG
rnacentral:rRNA from 1 species